CAAAAGUUAAGACUAUGAAUCUCUGUUAAAAAAUGAAGUUUGUCAAAUGUUUUUUUACACUGACUUAUGCUGAAAUAGUUCAGCAUAUAAAACCCUUUUCUUUGGAUCUCAUGGAAACACAGUUAUCUUCUGAAUUAUCUUCUUACAGGUCAGUGUUUGCCAAAUGAUAGGGUCACAGAUGAACCUUUCUGUAAGUCUGAACCUGAAGUGUCACAUACUUUCCAUCACCAUGAGAAUAACGAUCGCACAUGGAAAUGAUACUCUUGUGUUUGUUUUACUGUCAGAAACCCGUGAUCUCCACCAUCACUCCCAAAGUUGUGUCUUUCCACGGCAGAAACAACGCAGUGUUGUCUGGUAGUAACCUCAGUUCUGUGACUAGAUUGAGGAUCCAGGCAGAUCUUGACUGCACACCACAAGAGUGAGUUACCUCAUGGGUAACUGAGACAAUGAACUGAAACUAAGUGGCUGUUAAGUCAAGACUUUGCUGGCAUUGCUGCUCAGUAAAGCUGAGAAACUUCCUCAUGUAAAAGUGAUCAUGCUCCACAGACACAUUCACGUGUAUAUGGUUCACCCAAACAGAUUGUAAACUUGUAGAGCAAAUCAAAAACGUUACUGUCAAAGAAGCAGAAGCUGAAAUAGGGCUGGGCAAUAUGGCCUCAAAUCAGUAUCACGAUAUAUUAAGCAGUUCACCCAGAUAAUGAUAAAUGGACGAUAACAACUCCACGAGCUGCUCACCCCCUUCCACAUUAACUGCCUCUACUUCAGCCACCGCUCUAGCUGCUACAACUUUUGAACUGUUCUCUUUGUCCUUCUUUUUUUACGGACUGGAUGGGGUGGAGUCACGUCUCUGACGUAGAACAGCGUUUUAAAGGGACAUGAGACCAUAGCCUACCUACACACGUCCAAAAACAACUUUUAUUUAUUUAUUUUUUUGACACAGAAUAUAUCCAUAUAGGUAAAAUGACGUCGGUUACUGUCAUAAAUUUCAGUAUUGGUAAAUUUUCGGUUCAUCGCCCAGCCCUAACCUGAAAUUUCAGCGGCAAAAAUUGAGUUGUAAAGUUAGCGGCGGUGUAAAUUUUUCUUUGCAGUUUCUCAAAUGGUUCUUUAGGCUACAUGGACAUCAACUUGCAACCAGAAGAGAGCGUGUAUCUACUUAUGAAUUUGCGAAAUUGUAAGCAAAUUUUAAAUAGUUUAAAACUAUCUGAAUGAUGUGCUUUAAAGUCGUUAAAGUAUUGCCAGGGUUUGAGAUGCACACAUAUUAUUCCUGCUGUGUUGAUUGCAUUCCACCUAUUGUCUUUUGACUUGUCCUUAGUUAUUUUGUAAUGACUAUGAACAGGUAUCUGGAUACCAAAACAGAAUAAAACUGUUUCUCUCUGUUUUUUACCUCAUGUGGUCAGGAUUCCUGUUCGGAGCAACACGGGUAAAAAUCUGACGUUCCACAUUCCCAGUGCAGAAAACAAAGGUGUGGUCAAAGUCUGCGCCCUCCUCCCAGAUGGUAGUUGUCACGGCAGUGCCACUAUAACCUACCGUUCAGCACCAUCCUGCACCAAUGUUUCACCCAACAGCACCUGGAACAGGUAAAAGUGUGUGAGAGAAAUGCAAAAGAGAUCAACUGCACACAUACAGACUUCUCCUGAUACAAGUUAUGACUGAUGUACACAUUUAAUCUGUUUAGAAACCUGUGUUAAUGACAGUUUUCUUAACUUAAGACCAAGUGCUUGAUUUUGAAUACAUAACAUUACAGCAGUGUGGCUAAAGGGGAAGCUCUAAUUUUGACACCUUUGCCACAUUGGUAAACAGUUUGAAAAACUUCAGGAGCUUUACCUCUUUGCACUCAAACACUCAGUUGAGAGGUUCAAAUAUAUUGUCUUAAACUGUCCUUUUUUGACCUGAUGACCAGGGCUGCGUCAGGAACUUUAGUGGCGACUGAUUCAAGGGAAACAGGGUUAGUAACUUAGGAACGAUGACAGGUUGAGGGUCAUCUUAUGGGGAAAGAGCCACUUCCCAGAAGUGACUGAUGACACCAUUAGACUACUUCCUGUUAAGCUGCAGCAGCUAAAAGUUCCACUUCUGUCUUUAUUUUUGUACUUUAACAAGAAGCAGUGUUUAAAAAUCGGCAGCUUAGGCUAAUGAGGUUUUUAGGACAAUCUUGAACAAAGAAAAGAAAACACUCCAACAGCCACCGGCAUUCAUUAAUUAGCAUGAUUUGGUGCUUUUUGGGGAGCAGGGUUGUAAGGGUAUCUGCUGUAUGUCAUGGGGCACCAGCUCACAGAAGACCUGCAUCAAAGCAGCAAAGGCCAUUUUGUCUCAUUUUAAUCAACCAAACUGGUUCUAGCCUAUCAAAAGUCAUAGUGAGCCAUUUAUUUAAUGUGGACAAUCUGGGCAGUCCCUGUGCAGCCUGGGGGUUUUGAAAUCCUUGAUUACCACAGAGUAGGGUUCAUUUAAACAUCAUAAGGAACCAUCAAUCAUAGGGGGUCUGGUCGGGGGUGGAGGGCUGAUCACAUGCUGCACAUGCAAGACGGGAAAAAGUAAAGAAUUACCGUUAAGGUUUCUCUAGAGAAAAAUAGGACAACAGAUGAGUCCUCAGAGGAUCUCAUCUCUUAAAUACCUUUAGUGCCAAAUUAAAUAUUCCUCAGCUAAAAUGUUUGUAGAUUAUUUCUCACUCUAAUUAUUUUUAUAACAUUAAACUCUGCCUGACAUUUAUGACAAAAUUGCAUGUUCAAAAAUGCAAACCCUCCACUGUACAUGCUUAUUUGAUUGUUGCUCUGUGUCCUGUAGUGGGAAAAGGACGAUCACAGUCCAUGGAUCCCACCUGGAGUUUGUGGAAGCUGUCAAACACAGUGGAGUCCUGCAGGAGGUCAGACUUCCAGAGAACAAUAUCUAUAAGGUAGGUCUUUGGACACAAACAACAUCCCAUUUUAUUUUACUACUUUAUUUAUAUCUUGUCACCUUAUAGGCUACCAUGGUGCAUUAUACUGCAGUACACCAACCAAUGAGCAGAACCAGGGUUGUUCAAAGGAUUACUUCUCCUACAUAUCAUAUGUAUCAGUGUUUUUUAGACUGUUUUGAUUCACAGUUACACUUAAUGCAACUUCUAUUUUUACAAGCAGAGGCAAAUGUUAAUAACUUUGUUUGGACUGCACAGAAAGAACAGACACUUUGAUGAAUACAUUCACAGAUUCAGCUACUUUAACCGCAUUAAAAAGGGGGAAAAAAUGCACAUUUCAUGCACUUGUUUUUUUUAUGUUUAUACUAUCAUACAUGAUCGCAACUUAAUGCAUCAGAUUGAUAAGCAGCUGAUAAAUUCUAACUGUGUCUUUGCCUUGCCUGUCUGCUCUCUGACAUCUCUUUGUUUUAUCUCUUGUUUUAUCUGGGGAGUAGGUAGGAGGUUAAGUGUACGGUCUAGUACUGCAGGGGCUCGAGUCCAAAGAGGCUUCUGCCUUCCUGUCUACUCUUUAACAUCUCUUUAGAUAUGUGUCACUCUGUCCCUUAUUUUUCUUCUCUAUUAUGGUGCAUGGUUACAGCGAAAGGUGAGAGAUUGUAUCGAGAGGAGUGGCUCUGGGACACCCAAGCUAGCUGUUAAGCCUCCCUCAGGUGUCAUAGGCCUCACUUCAGAGCUUACCUGAUAACCUCUGUGAGGUUUUGGCUCAUGCAGCCCAUGUCUAUUAUUAAAUCUAUUACAAUUAUCCAUGUUCACCAAGAGAGGGAUCAGCUGUAUCUACACACAUUCAUCUGUCCAUUCAAUAUAGAGGUGUAUCACAUAAAAUCAUCUGUUAUGUCUUCUUUGCCAUUUUAUUUAUUUUAUGUUUCAGUGGAAGAUAUUGUUAUUUAACAUUAAUUAUUUAUGCUUUUAUUGUAUAAUGCUCUACAGUCAUAAUAUCACUUAAUUAGGAAGCUUCAAUCCAAAUGUAACACUGUAGAUUUCUCCUCAUGUUUUUGACAGGAUCUCAAGAAUCUCACCUACGACUCACCUGCAGCUGAAAAUGCUCAAGGGACUUUUUCCAGCACUUUGACCCUGAAAGUAGCCAAUGAGAGCUUGAGCUGUCCCACAAAAAUAACCUACUACCCAGACCCUGAGUUUACAAGCUUCACGUCCACAAAGACAGGGGACAGUGUCCACAUCACUAUACAGGUAAUGCAAGAUUUUCCAGCACACAUGCACAAUGAGGAGAUGAAACUUGAAUAUCAGUGAUUUUUUUCUGUUCUCCUUUCAGAAAAAGGCAGACAAACUCAAUAUGAGCCCUGAAGAGUUAUCAGUGUGGGGUAUUCAUGAAGGACAAAAAUACCCCUGCGUAAUGGAAGAGAAAGGAACCAGUGGCAACACCGAGUAUUUCAUCUGUGAGAUUAAAAUUCCAAGCAUCAAAGAUUUUCAAGAAUUGGAGGUAAGUUUUUAGUCGUGCCACUCCAAAUUAAGUGAUGCUUUUGAUAGAUAAAAUAUACAUGUGUCUCUAAAGCUUUUACAGAAACGCAGACUUCCUUUUUGAAAUCCUUUCUGAUACAGUUUGAUUGUUUCUUUGUCCCAGAUAAAGUAUGGAGACAAAACAGAAACCCUUGAAUCUGCAUCAUGGUCUCCUCUCUUCCUGAUACUGCUUGUCUUACUACUGAUCCCAUUAAUUAUUGUUGGUAAGUACCCUUUUAUCGUUAGAAGGCCGAUUUUGGUCUAAAAGCAGCUUUAGAAACACUGACAAAUCUGGAAAAAAAAACCAAAAACGAUUUGCUUGGUAUUUUAUCUCCCAGUUGUGGUGAUCGUUUACCGAAGCAAACAAAAGAAACUCAAUGCAAAGAUGAACAAGAUCAUGGAAAACCUGGAGCUCGACAUCAGGAAUGACAUCAGACAAGGUCAGUCACAAAAACAUUGAUGAUACGCUGAUGAAACAGCAAAGAUCCUUCCUGUCUGAACAGUCCCGUGCAAAACAAAAAGCUUGGGUUAUAGAAAGGUCAAUGACUCUUGUUUCAAUGUUCAUGAUAUUUCCUCUUGCUGUCCCUCUCCUUCUCUGUUGGCCAUGUGUGCACACAGCGCUGUAGGAUCAUGAGGCCUGACCCAAUCUAGCAUAAAAAUCGUAUCAAAAUAAGAGCAUGAAAAAUAAGCAGACCAAAGUUUUACAGUUUUACAGCUUCAUAGUUAGAUUCAUGAGCUAUUUGUUGACAUUGAGGAGGCUUUUGAGUAGAGUGAUCAUAUUCUGAAUCCCCAAAAAGAGGACAUGACUACCCAGGGGUGGAGUCACAGUGUCGCACGAAGUUAAUUUUGAGAGUUUUCCAGGUUGGAACGAGUAUCUUUUACCUGCUUCUAACUCAGUAAAUCCACGAGACACAAACUCGGAACUUCCAUACAAAAUUUUGUAAACUUCCCCGGACAAGGCCGGACAGCCCGCAAAAAAGAGGACAUGUCCGGGUAAAAGAGGACGUAUAGUCACCCUAUUUUUGAGGCGAAAAACACAAGUUUCUAUUCAUGACAUUUCCAUCAACAUCUGCUGUAUAUAGUUUUUCAGCUACUUAUCAGAUGUUAGCAUGCUGUCAUGCUAAGAUGAUUAACGGCAAUGCA
rnacentral:lncRNA from 1 species